UACGUAGGGGGGCUAGCGUUGUCCGGAAUCAUUGGGCGUAAAGAGCGUGUAGGCGGUCCGGUAAGUCCGCUGUGAAAGUCGGGGGCUCAACCCUCGAAUGCCGGUGGAUACUGCUGGACUAGAGUGCGGAAGAGGCGAGUGGAAUUCCCGGUGUAGCGGUGAAAUGCGCAGAUAUCGGGAGGAACACCAAUUGCGAAGGCAGCUCGCUGGGACGUUACUGACGCUGAGACGCGAAAGCGUGGGGAGCAAACAGG
rnacentral:rRNA from 1 species